rnacentral:tRNA from 1 species
UCCGAUAUGGUGUAGUGGCCAACAUGAUGCCCUCUCAUGAGCUCCCGUGAGUGAGAGGUUAGGCAUAGCCCCGAGUUCGAUUCUCGGUUUCGGAA